rnacentral:rRNA from 1 species
GAGCGGCGGACGGGUGAGUAACGGCUGGGAACCUGCCCUGACGAGGGGGAUAACCGUUGGAAACGACGGCUAAUACCGCAUAAUGUCUACGGACCAAAGGUGGCCUCUACAUGUAAGCUAUCGCGUUGGGAUGGGCCCAGUUAGGAUUAGCUAGUUGGUAAGGUAAUGGCUUACCAAGGCAACGAUCCUUAGCUGGUUUGAGAGGAUGAUCAGCCACACUGGGACUGAGACACGGCCCAGACUCCUACGGGAGGCAGCAGUGGGGAAUAUUGCACAAUGGGGGAGACCCUGAUGCAGCCAUGCCGCGUGUGUGAAGAAGGCCUUCGGGUUGUAAAGCACUUUCAGCAGUGAGGAAGGUCGUGUACUUAAUACGUGCACGGCUUGACGUUAGCUGCAGAAGAAGCACCGGCUAACUCCGUGCCAGCAGCCGCGGUAAUACGGAGGGUGCGAGCGUUAAUCGGAAUUACUGGGCGUAAAGCGCAUGCAGGCGGUUUGUUAAGUCAGAUGUGAAAGCCCGGGGCUCAACCUCGGAACCGCAUUUGAAACUGGCAGGCUAGAGUCUUGUAGAGGGGGGUAGAAUUUCAGGUGUAGCGGUGAAAUGCGUAGAGAUCUGAAGGAAUACCAGUGGCGAAGGCGGCCCCCUGGACAAAGACUGACGCUCAGAUGCGAAAGCGUGGGUAGCAAACAGGAUUAGAUACCCUGGUAGUCCACGCCGUAAACGCUGUCUACUUGGAGGUUGAGGUUUUAGACUUUGGCUUUCGGCGCUAACGCAUUAAGUAGACCGCCUGGGGAGUACGGCCGCAAGGUUAAAACUCAAAUGAAUUGACGGGGGCCCGCACAAGCGGUGGAGCAUGUGGUUUAAUUCGAUGCAACGCGAAGAACCUUACCUACUCUUGACAUCCAGCGAAGCCUUUAGAGAUAGAGGYGUGCCUUCGGGAGCGCUGAGACAGGUGCUGCAUGGCUGUCGUCAGCUCGUGUUGUGAAAUGUUGGGUUAAGUCCCGCAACGAGCGCAACCCUUAUCCUUGUUUGCCAGCACRUAAUGGUGGGAACUCCAGGGAGACUGCCGGUGAUAAACCGGAGGAAGGUGGGGACGACGUCAAGUCAUCAUGGCCCUUACGAGUAGGGCUACACACGUGCUACAAUGGCAGAUACAGAGGGCAGCGAGACAGCGAUGUUUAGCGAAUCCCUUAAAGUUUGUCGUAGUCCGGAUUGGAGUCUGCAACUCGACUCCAUGAAGUCGGAAUCGCUAGUAAUCGUGGAUCAGAAUGCCACGGUGAAUACGUUCCCGGGCCUUGUACACACCGCCCGUCACACCAUGGGAGUGGGCUGCACCAGAAGUAGAUAGCUUAACCUUCGGGAGGGCGUUUACCACGGUGUGGUUCAUGACUGGGGUGAAGUCGUAACAAGGUAGCCCUAGGGGAACCUGCGGCUGGUCCACCUCCUUAA